GGGGUUGUGGCUCAAUGGUAGAGUGCUCGCCUAGCAUGAGUGAGGUGCCCUCAAUUCGAUCCUCAGCACCACA
rnacentral:tRNA from 1 species